AGCGGGGUAGAGUAAUUGGUCAACUCAUCAGGCUCAUGACCUGAAGACUGCAGGUUCGAAUCCUGUCCCCACCU
rnacentral:tRNA from 1 species